UACGGGGGGGCAAGCGUUGUUCGGAAUUACUGGGCGUAAAGGGCCAGUAGGCGGCCAACUAAGUCCGACGUGAAAUCCCCAGGCUCAACUUGGGAACUGCGUCGGAUACUGGAUGGCUUGAAUUCGGGAGAGGGAUGCAGAAUUCCAGGUGUAGCGGUGAAAUGCGUAGAUAUCUGGAGGAAUACCGGUGGCGAAGGCGGCAUCCUGGACCGACAUUGACGCUGAACGGCGAAAGCUAGGGGAGCAAACGGG
rnacentral:rRNA from 1 species